UACAGAGGAGCCAAGCGUUGUCCGGAUUGACUGGGCGUAAAGCGCACGCAGGCGGACGCGCGCGUGGGGUGUGAAAUCUGGCCGCUUAACGGCCAGGCGCCAUCCCAUACGGCGCGACUGGAGUGAUGCAGAGGUCGAUGGAAUUGCCGGUGUAGUGGUGAAAUGCGUAGAGAUCGGCAGGAACACCCAGGGGGAAACCAGUCGACUGGGCAUCUACUGACGCUGAGGUGCCAGAGCGUGGGGAGCGAACCGG
rnacentral:rRNA from 1 species